rnacentral:rRNA from 1 species
AGAAUCAACGCUGGCGGCGUGCCUCAGACAUGCAAGUCGAGCGAUUAAAGCUCUCUUCGGAGAGUGUAUAAAGCGGCGUACGGGUGAGUAACACGUAAGUAAUCUACCUUCGAGUGGGGAAUAACAGUCGGAAACGACUGCUAAUACCGCAUAAUGCAGCGGCACCUAAUGGUGACAGUUGUUAAAGCAUUUAUGCGCUUGAAGAGGAGCUUGCGGCAGAUUAGCUUGUUGGUAAGGUAAUGGCUUACCAAGGCUACGAUCUGUAUCCGGUCUAAGAGGACGGUCGGACACACUGACACUGAAUAACGGGUCAGACUCCUACGGGAGGCAGCAGUCGGGAAUUUUGGGCAAUGGGCGAAAGCCUGACCCAGCAACGCCGCGUGAAGGAUGAAGUCUUUCGGGAUGUAAACUUCGUAAGAAUAGGAAGAAUAAAUGACGGUACUAUUUGUAAGGUCCGGCUAACUACGUGCCAGCAGCCGCGGUAAUACGUAGGGACCAAGCGUUGUUCGGAUUUACUGGGCGUAAAGGGCGCGUAGGCGGCGUGUUAAGUCACUUGUGAAAUCUCUAAGCUUAACUUAGAACGGUCAAGUGAUACUGAUGUGCUAGAGUGCAGAAGGGGCAACCGGAAUUCUUGGUGUAGCGGUGAAAUGCGUAGAUAUCAAGAGGAACACCUGAGGUGAAGACGGGUUGCUGGGCUGACACUGACGCUGAGGCGCGAAAGCUAGGGUAGCAAACGGGAUUAGAUACCCCGGUAGUCCUAGCCCUAAACGAUGAAUACUUGGUGUCUGGAGUUCUUUUCUCCGGGUGCCGUCGCUAACGUUUUAAGUAUCCG